rnacentral:rRNA from 1 species
GAUGAACGCUGGCGGCGUGCCUAACACAUGCAAGUCGAACGGAGUUACUUUGGUGAAGUUUUCGGAUGGAUCUGAUUUAACUUAGUGGCGGACGGGUGAGUAAUGCGUGAGCAACCUGCCCUUCAGAGGGGGACAACAGUUGGAAACGACUGCUAAUACCGCAUAAUGUAUUCGGAAGGCAUCUUCUGAAUACCAAAGGAGAAAUCCGCUGAGGGAUGGGCUCACGUCUGAUUAGUUAGUUGGCGAGGUAACGGCUCACCAAGACUGCGAUCAGUAGCCGGGCUGAGAGGUUGAACGGCCACAUUGGGACUGAGAUACGGCCCAGACUCCUACGGGAGGCAGCAGUGGGGAAUAUUGGGCAAUGGGCGAAAGCCUGACCCAGCAACGCCGCGUGAAGGAAGAAGGCCUUCGGGUUGUAAACUUCUUUUAAGAGGGACGAAGAAGUGACGGUACCUCUUGAAUAAGCCACGGCUAACUACGUGCCAGCAGCCGCGGUAAUACGUAGGUGGCGAGCGUUAUCCGGAUUUACUGGGUGUAAAGGGCGCGCAGGCGGGAAUGCAAGUCAGAUGUGAAAUCCAGGGGCUUAACCCUUGAACUGCAUUUGAAACUGUUUCCCUUGAGUGAAGUAGAGGCAGGCGGAAUUCCGAGUGUAGCGGUGAAAUGCGUAGAUAUUCGGAGGAACACCAGUGGCGAAGGCGGCCUGCUGGGCUUUAACUGACGCUGAGGCUCGAAAGUGUGGGUAGCAAACAGGAUUAGAUA